CGAGAUUCAGUCGAUUCGUUCUUUUUGCGGCGAUUAAGCGUCUGUUCGUCAUGACUGCUGGAUUGACGGUCAUCCUCCCGAGGCAAAGCAGCCCGCGGUGGACGUGCCGAGGUUCUGCGGGAAAGAACAAGGAUGACCGGGAGACCAACACUUUCUGCAGGAGCCACAAGGCAGGCCAUGGUUUCAUCGAACAGCCGGGAGUGGAGCGGGAUGCUGAAGGAUAGCGGCGCUCACUUCAGUGAGCCCAGCUUGAACCCCACCAUUGGCGUCCUGGGCACCACUCUGAAUAAGCUGCUUCAGUUGUGACUUGUAGCACAAAGUUUCUGUCACCCAGUUCAUCGUCAUCUCUGAACCAAAGCAUUGGUCCUGCCUGCUAGUCACCACUUGAAUGAAGGUUGGAAUGGUGCAGUGUGUUUGUGUAAAUAAACUGUUGAAGUU